AGACAGGAAAUAGGAUCUUAGUGGGUGGCCGCCAAGAGCGCACAGACUUUGAAGCAGGAAAAGACAGUCUCUAGAGCAACAUGGAAAGGAUCCAGAAUCUAAAAUAUUCCUGGAAAUGGAGAGUCCUGACAUGAUGGCCCCAUGAUGAAAAGAACCCAGGUUCCUGAGUCACGACGUGGACAUGAGGCACCAAGGAGAAAACACGUGAACCUUAAUAAGUUUGGGAGCUUUGACAUUCUUCUGUCAAGUCACCUUGCAAGUCUCAUGCUUUCUGGAUUCACUGCAGAUUAGAGUACCCAGAAUUAGCCAAGACCUUCAACAUUUAAUGACUAGCCAUGGAGAAGAAAUAAGAUGAACUGCUUGUCCCAGAAAGCGAUAGAACUUUGAAAGCAGCUAUAUAUUUCCUAGCUACCUCUAAAAAAUGGAGCUGUCUUCAUGAGACCUGUAAGAAGCCAACAGAUCAAAUGGAGGUUCCCAUGAUUUUCUUUUUCCUCAUGGAAACAUGUUUGGUCAGAAGGGAAACAAACCAAUUAAGGUGAUACCAAAGGAUGAUCCUUGAUACAGUUGUAUUUUGGUGGAGCGUUGAGAUUCGCCAGUGAACUCUAACAGUGAGGAUGGCACUGGAAUAAAAAGAGAAGAAACAUGUA
rnacentral:lncRNA from 1 species